rnacentral:tRNA from 1 species
GGGAUAUUAGCUCAGUUGGUAGAGCACUUGACUUUUAAUCAAGUUGUCCGGGGUUCGAAUCCCCGAUGUCUCC